GAGUUUGAUCAUGGCUCAGAUUGAACGCUGGCGGCAUGCUUUACACAUGCAAGUCGAACGGUAACAGGGAGCUUGCUCCGCUGACGAGUGGCGAACGGGUGAGUAAUGCGUCGGAACGUGCCGAGUAGUGGGGGAUAACGCAUCGAAAGGUGUGCUAAUACCGCAUACGAACUGAGGCUGAAAGUGGGGGACCUUCGGGCCUCACGCUAUUCGAGCGGCCGACGUCUGAUUAGCUAGUAGGUGAGGUAAAGGCUCACCUAGGCGACGAUCAGUAGCGGGUCUGAGAGGAUGAUCCGCCACACUGGGACUGAGACACGGCCCAGACUCCUACGGGAGGCAGCAGUGGGGUAUUUUGGACAAUGGGCGCAA
rnacentral:rRNA from 1 species